rnacentral:lncRNA from 10 species
CUCCCUGAUUUAUUGGUGUGGGUCAUGCGUGAAUUAGGCUGUCCCCUUUUGAGGGAGCAGCUCGGAUGGUGGCGUAACCUCGCAGGCCCUGGGCAGGGGCUCCGGGGAAUUCCUGGCCAAAAGGCUUCUCAUCUGUAACUGGUGAAGCCCGGAAGAGCUUGUUGUUCAAGAGGAAAUCUUGUGUUACUUCUUUAUGAAGGACUCCAGCCUGGUGGAGAUGAAUGAGUCCUGAAGAUGGAAUCGAAGCUGUUUGGGCACAAACAAGGUUUCACUCUUGUUGCCCAGGCUGGAGUGCAAUGGUGUGAUCUAGGCUCACUGCAACCUCCACCUCCCGGGUUCAAGUGAUUCUCCUGUCUCAGGCUCCCAAGUAGGUGGGAUUACAGUACUUUAAUCAGCAUUUAAUGACCCAGUCGAAAAUUCAUUGUUUGGACCCAAGCACUGGUGGGAAAGGCAGGAGGGGAGGCCUGCCUUCCUUCCUCCCUCCCGAGCCCUACAGCAGGCCAUGGAGUGGUGAGCGAGUUCGUACAGUGCCAACCACAUUCCCAGAAACUUCCAGCAGAGGUUAAUCCUGCUCCUCUCAGGAAAAAGUGAUUCAGCUCCGGUCCACCCUGGGUGCAGCGGUCCUUCUGCCAAGAUGCCUUCAUAUCAUACAGCUAUUAUUUUCGGGAGGAUUCCAAGUGAGGGCAGUCAGGGUGGGCUUGGCCCAUUCUCUAGACUUUGGAAGGUAAUGUUCUAUAGAGGCCUGUUCUGAAGCUUUACCAGGUCAAACCGGAGAAGAACCCAACAAGUAACUCAUCCCAGCCUAACUAUUCUUCAAGGGCAAUCAACCUACAGCAUCCAAGCACAGAGAAAUCAAAUCCAUGGAGAAUCUUCAAAUUAGGCUCAGAAUCCAUUUGGGUCAAUGAAUUUACUGUUAUUAAGAUCUUAGUUGUGUUCAACCAUGAUUUGACAUACCUUAGAGUGAGAAGAUAUUCUUCCUGGCCUCAGACUAGUUGAAGGUAGAGAGAGAGACAGGCCCUUGGGUGUGGGGAGACCUCUCCUGGGAUAAUACACACAAAAAACCAAGAGCUGCUCACUGUGGUGCAGGAGACAGCAGGGCCUGAAGCCAGAGGCUCUGUGUCCUUGAAUACAAUGUUUUACUCCUCUGACCCCUGUUACUGUGAUUUGGAGAGGCAGACAAUAUAGGAUGGGCUUUGCAGGCAGGGAGGUCCAGUUAUAAUCCCAGCUCUUACUAAGUUGGGUAAGACUCACUCUGAGACUUAGUUUCUUCUGUCAUCUCUCAAUAGAAUCAUAAAGGUACUUUCCUCUUAGUGUUGUUUUAAAAUUCAGUAAAAUAAUGCAGGCUUAGCACAGGGUCUGAUGUAAAUUUUCAAUGAAUUAUCGUUGUCAAUAUUGUUCUGGAAAACAAGAGGGCAUAUUAGAAGAUCAAAAGUACUGCCAAGCAUUGAAGUGCCAAUUCUAGAUCCAGUCUCAGCCCUCUGAGAAUGGAUAUCAUUGUUUUCAAGCCAUUCAGAAACCAAUGUGAAUUGAACACCUAGUAUGAGCUCUCUGAGGGAAGAGCCAAGUCAUGCAUUUUUUAUCUUAAGGGGUCUUCAAUACCUCUAGCCCAAAACAGUAUCUCCAUCAGGAUUCUUCUCUGAUAGUGUUCAUUUCUUUUUUCUCAAUGGAUGCCUUAAAAAAAAAAUCCUACAAGGAAACCUGUACUCCUCAAAUACACCACUCAGGUGACCAUUAAAUCAUUUACAUUGUUAAUUUCUUUUCAGAUGUGUGUCUUUUUCCCUAGUUACAUCAUCAGGACCUUGAAGGUAGGGACAGGUCUUAGAUUUCUUGAUGCCCCCAUAAAUCUAGGUACAGAGUAGGUCUCUGGACAUCAGUAUAAGGCCCAUGAGCCUGAUAGCUGCCCAGGUGGGUGCUGUGUGCCUGGGCGUGGGAAGGACAAAAGAGAGGUCACUAAAGGGGUUCCUGGGAAGGAAGAGCCCCUCUGACUUUAAAAGGGAGCCCAUACACUUUUUGGACAACUGGAAUAAUCAGAAAGCUGUUUUUGGGGAGGCAGCAGCCAGAAAAACCUGGGGCAUUGGGUCAACCAAAGCCCUUCCCAAGGCUGCAGUGGCUGCAGCUAGUUAGCCCAGCUUCCCUACCAGCCCCAGGGCUGCAACUGAACAGUGUUGGCUUCUUAAUAAAAACAG